rnacentral:rRNA from 1 species
UAAUCGGGGCAGGGUGAGUCGACCCCUAAGGCGAGGCCGAAAGGCGUAGUCGAUGGGAAACAGGUUAAUAUUCCUGUACUUGGUGUUACUGCGAAGGGGGGACGGAGAAGGCUAUGUUGGCCGGGCGACGGUUGUCCCGGUUUAAGCGUGUAGGCUGGUUUUCCAGGCAAAUCCGGAAAACCAAGGCUGAGGCGUGAUGACGAGGCACUACGGUGCUGAAGCGACAAAUGCCCUGCUUCCAGGAAAAGCCUCUAAGCAUCAGGUAACAUCAAAUCGUACCCCAAACCGACACAGGUGGUCAGGUAGAGAAUACCAAGGCGCUUGAGAGAACUCGGGUGAAGGAACUAGGCAAAAUGGUGCCGUAACUUCGGGAGAAGGCACGCUGAUAUGUAGGUGAAGCGACUUGCUCGUGGAGCUGAAAUCAGUCGAAGAUACCAGCUGGCUGCAACUGUUUAUUAAAAACACAGCACUGUGCAAACACGAAAGUGGACGUAUACGGUGUGACGCCUGCCCGGUGCCGGAAGGUUAAUUGAUGGGGUUAGCGGUAACGCGAAGCUCUUGAUCGAAGCCCCGGUAAACGGCGGCCGUAACUAUAACGGUCCUAAGGUAGCGAAAUUCCUUGUCGGGUAAGUUCCGACCUGCACGAAUGGCGUAAUGAUGGCCAGGCUGUCUCCACCCGAGACUCAGUGAAAUUGAACUCGCUGUGAAGAUGCAGUGUACCCGCGGCAAGACGGAAAGACCCCGUGAACCUUUACUAUAGCUUGACACUGAACAUUGAGCCUUGAUGUGUAGGAUAGGUGGGAGGCUUUGAAGUGUGGACGCCAGUCUGCAUGGAGCCGACCUUGAAAUACCACCCUUUAAUGUUUGAUGUUCUAACGUUGGCCCGUAAUCCGGGUUGCGGACAGUGUCUGGUGGGUAGUUUGACUGGGGCGGUCUCCUCCUAAAGAGUAACGGAGGAGCACGAAGGUUGGCUAAUCCUGGUCGGACAUCAGGAGGUUAGUGCAAUGGCAUAAGCCAGCUUGACUGCGAGCGUGACGGCGCGAGCAGGUGCGAAAGCAGGUCAUAGUGAUCCGGUGGUUCUGAAUGGAAGGGCCAUCGCUCAACGGAUAAAAGGUACUCCGGGGAUAACAGGCUGAUACCGCCCAAGAGUUCAUAUCGACGGCGGUGUUUGGCACCUCGAUGUCGGCUCAUCACAUCCUGGGGCUGAAGUAGGUCCCAAGGGUAUGGCUGUUCGCCAUUUAAAGUGGUACGCGAGCUGGGUUUAGAACGUCGUGAGACAGUUCGGUCCCUAUCUGCCGUGGGCGCUGGAGAACUGAGGGGGGCUGCUCCUAGUACGAGAGGACCGGAGUGGACGCAUCACUGGUGUUCGGGUUGUCAUGCCAAUGGCACUGCCCGGUAGCUAAAUGCGGAAGAGAUAAGUGCUGAAAGCAUCUAAGCACGAAACUUGCCCCGAGAUGAGUUCUCCCUGAGACUUAGAGUCUCCUGAAGGAACGUUGAAGACGACGACGUUGAUAGGCCGGGUGUGUAAGCGCAGCGAUGCGUUGAGCUAACCGGUACUAAUGAACCGUGAGGCUUAACCUUACAACGCCGAAG